rnacentral:rRNA from 1 species
AGCGAACGUUAGCGGCAGGCUUAACACAUGCAAGUCGAACGCGAAAGCCCUUUCGGGGGCAAGUAGAGUGGCGCACGGGUGAGUAACACGUAGGUAACCUGUCCUUGUGUCGGGGAUAACCACUGGAAACGGUGGGUAAUACCGGGUAGAGCUGUGACUUUUAAUUAGGUUACAGGGAAAGCUGAAAAGCGCACGAGGAGGGGCCUGCGUCCCAUCAGCUAGAUGGUAAGGUAACGGCUUACCAUGGCAACGACGGGUAGCUGGUCUGAGAGGAUGAUCAGCCACACUGGGACUGAGACACGGCCCAGACUCCUACGGGUGGCUG